CAGGAGGGCUCUGUGAAGGCCAAGUUUAAGGCCUCCAUCACAGCUCUAGAGGCGAAGAUCCUGCAGAUGGAGGAGCAGCUGGAGCAGGAGGCAAAAGAAAGAGCAGCUGCCAACAAAGUGGUGCGCCGGACGGAGAAGAAGCUGAAGGAGGUGAUGCUGCAGGUGGAGGACGAACGCCGCCAUGCCGACCAGUUCAAAGAGCAGAUGGAGAAGGCCAAUGCUCGCAUGAAGCAGCUGAAGAGGCAGUUGGAGGAAGCCGAGGAGGAGGCAAGUCGAGCCAAUGCAUCGAGGAGGAAACUCCAGAGAGAACUUGAUGACGCCACAGAGGCCAGCGAGGGCCUCACACGAGAGGUCAACACACUCAAGAACAGACUGAGACGAGGGGGUGCGGCCAGCACCUUCUCCUCCUCGAGCCGCUCAGGCCGCCGUAACCUCAACCUGGAUGGAGCGUCUGGGGACAUGUCCGACGACGACGCCGACAGCCGCGCCAGUGACUUCAAUGACACACAACCCACUAAUGCUAAUGAGUAAUGCCCCUGUGUGGCCACAUCCUUCUCCGUCAUUCCUGACCAGACCUGCUUCACUAAACCCCGGCACAGCUCUGACUCUGCUGUUUAUGUUCUGGACACUGCAUCGAAAACCACUGCCCCUUGGACCACGAGCAGCGGGGCAAAAAUACACUUGGCACUGCCUUAGUACUGGCAUCAUGUCCUCCCUCCUCCAUCGGGUAUCGAUUUAUCCACUCAGCUUGUUGAGAAAUAUACAUAGGUACCAAGUGCUUUUACAUUAAACUCCAGUAUGUGGCAUUUGUGGCGUUGUGCGAACUGGACAUGCAGGAGAUGUAUCUGAACAAAACAGAGAUUUGAAUGUUUAAGCCAUUCCUUACGGGACAGGCCAGCAUCAUUCAUCUCAAAACACGUCACAACCUGGUCCACGUUCAUCUCAAAACACGCCUCAAACUGGUCCACAUGUAUUUGAAAACACACCCCAAACUGAUCCGUGUUCAUCUCAAAACUCGCCCCAGACUGGUCCCUGUUCAUCUCAAAGCACACCCCAAGCUGGUCCACCUUCAUUUCAAAACUCACUCCAAACUGAUUUGCAUUUAUCUCAAAACACACCCCAAGCUGGUCCAUGCCCAUCUCAAAACUCGCCACGAACUGAUCCGAGUUCAUUUUAGAACACGACCCAAACUGGUCCAUGUUCGUCUAAAAACACACCCCAAACUGGUCCACGUUCAUCUCAAAACACACCCCAAAACUCACCCUAAACUGGUCCAGUCUCAUCUCAAAACUCGGCCAAAACUGGUCUCUGUUCAUCUCAAAACACGCCCCAAACUGAUCCGCGUUCAUCUCAAAACUCACCCCAGAUUGGAGCUUGCUCUAAAGAGCUUGCUUGCUGAGGCCUCUUCCAAACAUCUCAAAGUGACGAACAUCUCAACGUCUGGACUGAAGUUUUUUAACUGUGAAAAGAGGAUUUUUAUCUUCUGUUGCUUCAUCUCAAUUUGCCGCAAACGAAUGUCUUGAAUGUGAAUGGAAAGUCUCACUCUGUAUUAACCCUUUUGUAUUGACACUAGUGUUUAUGAAAAUGCUGAGAAUGACUCUGACUGUGUCAGACUGCGUCAGAUUAGGUCAGACUGGGUCAGUCUGAUUCAAUCUGGGUCACACUGGGUCAGACUGGGUCAGAAGUCCAGCAGCACACGCUCUGUUCCUUGUGUACUCUCACUAGAGCUUGGCCCUGUUCACUUAUAAAAGCUGAUAAACACUAUUCUCAGCCAUCAUGUCUCCUGCUUAGCCCCAGUGUUUUAUUUCUUUUUUUACAUUUAUGCUAAGAAACAACAGUCACCAAG
ensembl:lncRNA